rnacentral:rRNA from 1 species
UACGUAGGGACCAAGCGUUGCUCGGAAUUAUUGGGCGUAAAGCGCGCGUAGGCGGCUUGGCAAGUCGGAUGUGAAAUCCCUUGGCUCAACCAAGGAAGUGCAUCCGAAACUGCCGAGCUUGAGUACUUAAGAGGAUCGCGGAAUUCCCGGUGUAGAGGUGAAAUUCGUAGAUAUCGGGAGGAACACCAGUGGCGAAGGCGGCGAUCUGGGAAGAUACUGACGCUGAGGUGCGAAAGCGUGGGGAGCAAACAGG